rnacentral:rRNA from 1 species
GGGCCACCACAAGAACGCGUGGAGCAUGUGGCUUAAUUUGACUCAACGCGGGAAAUCUUACCGGGUCCGGACACACUGAGGAUUGACAGGCAAUAUUAAUACUUUGCUUCGGCAUUGUAUUAUGUUAAAUAUGCUAGUCCUUUCAUGAUUAUGUGAUAGGUGGUGCAUGGCCGUUCUUAGUUCGUGGAGUGAUCUGUCUGCUUAAUUGCGUUUCACUAAGGGCCUAUAAAUUUACGUAUGUUGUAUCGCACUUUGACCCCUUUCUUUAAUUAGAAAGCGCGUGUCUUAGUUUCGCUUUGCUCAUACAAUUAGGUCCUGAAAGCAACGAACGUGACCGCAACCUCUUGUUGCCUUUAUACCAAACAUGUUUAUUCAUUUUUUAAUGUUCAUUCAUGAAAAAAGGCUUUUUAAACUAGAGGGACCGCUGUUACUUUCUUAAACCAGAGGAAGGUUGCGGCAAUAACAGGUCUGUGAUGCCCUUAGAUGUUCCGGGCUGCACACGUGCUACAAUGAUUAUUGCAGUGAGCAUCUCAUUUUUACACACCGCAUGCGCGAGUCCAUUUAUUCACCUUCGGGUGUUUUAAAUGUGUACCUCUGCGCGCGGUAAAGCCUGCUUCGAAAGUAAGUGGGUAAUCAAUUAGAAGUAAUGAUUUCCUUUUUUAGCACACAUAUAUACGGCGUCUAUGCCCGGGUUACCUUGUUGUAGCUUUUGUGUGUAUAGAUGUUUUUUCCGUAUGUGCGAUUGUCAAUUCAUGGUGGGGACAGACCAUUGUUAAUUGUUGGUCUCGGUCUUAACUAGGAAUGCCUUGUACGGGUCUUUGGUUCAACAAACCACCCGGAAUACGUCCCUGCCCUUUGUACACACCGCCCGUCGCUCUUACCGAUGGACUUCUCUGUGAGUUUGAGGGACUGGGAACGCAGGAAUUUAUUUCUGCACACCUAUGGAAACUUAAACGAACAGUGUGGUCUAAAGGAAAGAGAAGUCGUAACAAGGCAUA